UCAAAAACAUGUCUUAUUGAGUAUAAUUUUAAGUCUAGUCUGCCCACUGAAAGUUUAAAUGGCCGCAGUAUUUUGACUGUGCUAAGGUAGCAUAAUCAUUAGUUUCUUAAUUAGAAGCUUGUAUGAAUGGUUGGAUGAAAAAAUUUCUGUCUCUAUUUAAAUUAUUUAUAAUUUUAUUUUUUAGUAAAAAAGCUAAAAUUCUUUUGAAAGACGAGAAGACCCUAUAGAGUUUUAUAAAUAUAUAAAUAUUAAUAUUUAAUGGGAUAUAAAUUUUUAAUUUUUUAAUUUAUUUGGUUGGGGUGAUUGAAAAAUUAAAUAAACUUUUUUUUGUUUUAAACAUUGAUUUAUGAAAAAUUGAUCCAUUUUUAUGAUUAAAAGAUUAAAUUACCUUAGGGAUAACAGCGUAAUAUUUUCAGAGAGUUCUUAUCGAAGAGAAAGAUUGCGACCUCGAUGUUGGAUUAAAAUUUAUUGUUGGUGUAGAAGCUAAUAUAUUAGGUCUGUUCGACCUUUAAAAUUUUACAUGAUCUGA
rnacentral:rRNA from 1 species